rnacentral:ncRNA from 2 species
CCUUUUGCCCCGGUAUCGGGUGCCCGACAGGGUUGUCGGGAGAAUAGGGAAGACGGUGUAACUCCGUCGCGGUCCCGCCGCUGUAACCGGGGACGACAGUCAGUUGAGAAGCCGAUGGAUUCCGUCCAUCGCUUCCGCCACUGCGACGCAGGUCGCGGGAAGGUCUGACUGAAGAACGAUCCGGAAGCCAGAAGACCUGCCUGAUAUCGCCGUCCGCC